rnacentral:lncRNA from 1 species
GACGAAGUCACUAUGAACGUCUUGUUAUUAACGGGCACGUUACUUACCACUGAAAGAAUAUCACUCUUAUUUUUUUAAUAAAUUUAGAAAUAUACGAGUAUACCUGAUGGAUCAAGUAAAUAAUUUUGGCCGUGGAAUGUAUGUGAUUGGUCUUUCCGACAAGUUGGAUGUUGAUACUCGAAUACGACAUUUCAAAUCUACAAAUGCUUUCUGGUUUUCUUCUUUUGCCAUUAUAUUAGCGUCACCUCACAUUGACAGUUGCUCCUUAUCAAGCAUUGUGAUGUCGGUGCCCACUCUCUCCCGCUUUUAAGAUCUAGUUUGGAUAAUCAAUUCCUCUUCUAGAUUGGAGAAGAUUAGGGGAUAAACUAAUUUCCUCUACAAUCACUCGCGUUCCCCUGCAAUCCACACAGAAAACAGUUGUCUCCAAACUAGUACUAAGGCAACCUAUGUUCCUUACCUGUUCCUCUUUCCUUCCCCGCUACUCAUAUAAUUCAAUCUGUGUGUUCUCAUCUAGUAUAAUCGACAGAUCCUAUAGGCUUCUCCCCAAAAUAAAAUUACAUAGGCUCAUUGCAUGCACCUACAAUAACAAUAAGCAUUAUAAUCCAAAGAAGAAAGGCCCGUUAGAGUAAAGUAUUGCCAGAUCAUGAAUACCAAUCAUGAAUACCAGUAUGCUGCUGCAAUUGUUGUGGAUACCAUCACUACCGGAGGAUCGACUUCUAGUACCGGUCAGUAAUCCUCCUUUAGUAUCGAGCGCUCGACCGGUAUCGCUCGAUCGGUACUAAAUAUCAUGCUAUUUAGUACCAGUCAGCCCAACCGGUACUAAAUACGCCAUUU